rnacentral:rRNA from 1 species
GCAGCCGCCGCGGGAAUACGAAGGGGGCUAGCGUUGUCCGGAAUUAUUGGGCGUAAAGCGCGCGCAGGCGGUUUUUUAAGUCUGGUGUCUAAGUGCGGGGCUCAACCCCGUGACGCACUGGAAACUGGGAGACUUGAGUGCAGAAGAGGAGAGCGGAAUUCCACGUGUAGCGGUGAAAUGCGUAGAGAUGUGGAGGAACACCAGUGGCGAAGGCGACUCCUUGGCCUAUAACUGACGCUGAGGCGCGAAAGCGUGGGGAGCAAACAGGAUUAGAUACCCCGGUAGUCCCUGUCUCUUAUACA